rnacentral:rRNA from 1 species
GCCCAGACUCCUACGGGAGGCAGCAGUGGGGAAUAUUGCACAAUGGGGGAAACCCUGAUGCAGCGACGCCGCGUGAGCGAUGAAGUAUUUCGGUAUGUAAAGCUCUAUCAGCAGGGAAGAAAAUGACGGUACCUGACUAAGAGGCCCCGGCUAACUACGUGCCAGCAGCCGCGGUAAUACGUAGGGGGCAAGCGUUAUCCGGAUUUACUGGGUGUAAAGGGAGCGUAGACGGCAUGGCAAGUCAGAUGUGAAAGCCCGGGGCUCAACCCCGGGACUGCAUUUGAAACUGUCAGGCUGGAGUGCAGGAGAGGUAAGUGGAAUUCCUAGUGUAGCGGUGAAAUGCGUAGAUAUUAGGAGGAACACCAGUGGCGAAGGCGGCUUACUGGACUGUAACUGACGUUGAGGCUCGAAAGCGUGGGGAGCAAACAGGAUUAGAUACCCUAGUA